ACUAAGUGAAUGUAAGGUGUGAACUAAGUGAAUGUAAGGUAUGAACUAAGUGAAUGUAAGGUGUGAACUAAGUGAAUAUGAGGUGUGAACUAAGUGAAUGUAAG